CAGGCCAGGUCCUGGUUCCCAUUUCUAGGGACCCGCCUCCUAAUCUACUAGAGAAGAUUGAAGCAUCAAAGUCUGCUGUCACAGGAAAAUGAGGCAGAAGGAAUGGCUGGCAAUACAAGGAAAACUUCAGGAGGACCUUGGCACGCACCAAACUUAACAGGAAACUGCAGCUCGAAGGCCCAUGCCUCCUGUUAUCCAUCUCUGCAAAGAGCUGUGAGUUAAACAAUGCACACCCAACACUGCCCACCUGAAAUCAGUCACCGUGUGACUCCCAGGCUUCUCCAACCACAAAUAUGCAAGAAUAAUGU